GACGAACGCUGGCGGCGCGCCUAACACAUGCAAGUCGAACGAGCGAGAGAGAGCUUGCUUUCUCGAGCGAGUGGCGAACGGGUGAGUAACGCGUGAGGAACCUGCCUCAAAGAGGGGGACAACAGUUGGAAACGACUGCUAAUACCGCAUAAGCCCACAGGUCGGCAUCGACCAGAGGGAAAAGGAGUGAUCCGCUUUGAGAUGGCCUCGCGUCCGAUUAGCUAGUUGGUGAGGUAACGGCCCACCAAGGCGACGAUCGGUAGCCGGACUGAGAGGUUGAACGGCCACAUUGGGACUGAGACACGGCCCAGACUCCUACGGGAGGCAGCAGUGGGGAAUAUUGCACAAUGGGGGAAACCCUGAUGCAGCGACACCGCGUGAGCGAAGAAGUAUUUCGGUAUGUAAAGCUCUAUCAGCAGGGAAGAAAAUGACGGUACCUGACUAAGAAGCACCGGCUAAAUACGUGCCAGCAGCCGCGGUAAUACGUAUGGUGCAAGCGUUAUCCGGAUUUACUGGGUGUAAAGGGAGCGUAGACGGUUGUGUAAGUCUGAUGUGAAAGCCCGAGGCUCAACCCCGGGACUGCAUUGGAAACUAUGUAACUAGAGUGUCGGAGAGGUAAGCGGAAUUCCUAGUGUAGCGGUGAAAUGCGUAGAUAUUAGGAGGAACACCAGUGGCGAAGGCGGCUUACUGGACGAUCACUGACGUUGAGGCUCGAAAGCGUGNGGAGCAAACAGG
rnacentral:rRNA from 1 species